rnacentral:rRNA from 1 species
GACGAACGCUGGCGGCGUGCUUAACACAUGCAAGUCGAACGAAGAGCGAUGGAAGCUUGCUUCUAUCAAUCUUAGUGGCGAACGGGUGAGUAACGCGUAAUCAAUCUGCCCUUCAGAGGGGGACAACAGUUGGAAACGACUGCUAAUACCGCAUACGAUCUAAUCUCGGCAUCGAGGAUAGAUGAAAGGUGGCCUCUACAUGUAAGCUAUCACUGAAGGAGGGGAUUGCGUCUGAUUAGCUAGUUGGAGGGGUAACGGCCCACCAAGGCGAUGAUCAGUAGCCGGUCUGAGAGGAUGAACGGCCACAUUGGGACUGAGACACGGCCCAGACUCCUACGGGAGGCAGCAGUGGGGAAUCUUCCGCAAUGGACGAAAGUCUGACGGAGCAACGCCGCGUGAGUGAUGACGGCCUUCGGGUUGUAAAGCUCUGUUAAUCGGGACGAAAGGCCUUCUUGCGAAUAGUGAGAAGGAUUGACGGUACCGGAAUAGAAAGCCACGGCUAACUACGUG